rnacentral:lncRNA from 1 species
AGCCCGCUUGCGGCGCGUAAGCGCUGAUGACGUUGAGGACGCAACCCCCAAUAACCAGCUUAAUAGACAUUAACCUAUCAUUCACUCGCCUAAUCUCGACCACGGACUCCCUUAGGUCCCUAUCUACCAAGAUUUCCACUCCAUUCUUACCUCUCACGACCCCAGAAUACCACAGCUUAAACCCAUCUACAUUCCUCGCCUUCGAU